ensembl:lncRNA
UGAGCUACUAGGGAAGCCCCAUCAGAUAAAAUAGACCUCAAAGCAAAAUUUAUCAGCAGAGAAAGGAGCGCCAUGCAUAACUGAUUGUGUGUGUUAGUUUUUCAGUCCUGUCUGACUCUGCGACCCCAUAGACUGUAGCCUGCCAGGCUCCUCUGUCCAUGGGAUUCUCCAGGGCUUCCUGUUCGGCUCCUUUAUCUGCCUCAGGGGCGGACAGCUAGCCUUCCCUGCCCUGGCCGCAGAAGGAGAGCACCUAGCAAGGAACAGAGGUGACUGCUGCAAGAUGAGCUUCACAUCCCAGGUGACUGGAACAGAAGUCCUCAGCUUGUCUGUCUUACCUUUUCUCCAGGUCAGAUUCCUGCUGCCCUAGCAGGGGCCAGGACAGUCCACUCUCGCCCACAGCUAUGAUCUCUGCUUGGCCUGAUGGAUACUGUGCCCAUCUUGUGGGACUAUAUUAAGCAUCAAAUGAGCAGCUGCUUAGUAGAUGUUGAUGGCUGAGGCUGUGGAGGGGUCUUUCUCUCCCAGACUUGGGAGGAGAUGCCUGUCUUGGGUCCAGAUCUCACCAGAUCGCUCAUCUGUUUCUUUAGGACUUCAGCUCAUCUCAGUCGUCCUGUGGUCUGGUUCAUUUUUCCUCCCAGGCUGUGACAGGGGCAGUCAGCACCAUUAAGUUCUUCUUCUCUGAGGCUUUCCUGGGCCAGCAUUUCGAGGCUGUGGAGUUGGAGGACAAUGAACCUGAGCUGGGAGACCUCUUCCUAUUCAGGCUGAUGUCCCCCACUGGACACUGGUCGGGGCCCACGUUGGUGUGUACUGUGGCCAUGGAGAGAUCAUCCACUUUGAGGGUGAGAGGACAGGCCCUGCUCUUGGAACAGAGGCUGCCCAUCAAGCCUGCUCCACCAGUGGGUGGACCUCAUAGGGAUGAAGACUGCCACCCCCAGCUCAUGGUGCAGGUCUCCGAAGGAAGUCGCUUGGGCACCCAGG